UGACAUCAGCGAGUCAGAGAAAAAGGGGUGAGCGGCAGGCACCGAGAGAAGUAGGGCGUUUGGCAUUAGGAGCUCGAGCCCAGCCUGCCCUGGCAGGGUCCUCAGUGCCCCAGAGACCAUGCAGAAGUCGCCUCUGGAAAAGGCCAGCGUCAUCUCCAAACUUUUUUUCAGGUGAGAGGGUGUCCAGCGGAUCUUUGGAAGGACACGUGCCCAUGAAAGGAAGAGGGAGUGAAUAUGGGCAGAGUUUUGGGGGAAAGAGGAAUAUUUUUUUAAAGAGAUGCACUAUCAUUCAUUGUUUUGAAAGAAAACAUGGAUAUUGUGGAAUAAAAUUUCAUUAAGAGAAAAAAGAAUAAGCUGAAGCCAAGUGUUUGAAUAGAGAGCAAAAUCUACUUGUCACUGAGAGUCAGACUCCCAAGAAUCAAAUAUGCUAAGGUGCAAUUGAUUUGAUUUUUAAUUUUUUUGAGAAAUUUAUAAAGUUGUUAGUAAUAAAUUCUUAAGUUUGUUCUUUGUUUUCCCCUUUCAUGCCUUGGAAACUUUUCUUCUUGGCACACGUACUACAGGUAAUAGGUGGUCAGAAAACAUUUGUUAGCUGAAUUUGGGGGAAAAAACGGGAUAGAGAAAGUGUGAAUUAUGUGCCUAAAGUUUUUAUUGUUAUGAUACUGAGUAAGUCUAACAAGUACUUGCCACAAUUUCAUUAUUUUUCUUUUUAAGAAUGAAAACAAAUCUGUCAAAGUAUUUAUCUUAAGCAUGAACACGAUGAACGAUGGACUUUUAAGGGAGGUCAGAACAGUCAUGGAAAUGUGAAG
rnacentral:lncRNA from 1 species